AAGGUUAACCGUAUAGGGGAGCCGUAGGGAAACCGAGUCUUAACCGGGCGUUAAGUUGCAGGGUAUAGACCCGAAACCCGGUGAUCUAGCCAUGGGCAGGUUGAAGGUUGGGUAACACUAACUGGAGGACCGAACCGACUAAUGUUGAAAAAUUAGCGGAUGACCUGUGGCUGGGGGUGAAAGGCCAAUCAAACCGGGAGAUAGCUGGUUCUCCCCGAAAGCUAUUUAGGUAGCGCCUCGUGAAUUCAUCUCCGGGGGUAGAGCACUGUUUCGGCUAGGGGGCCAUCCCGGCUUACCAACCCGAUGCAAACUGCGAAUACCGGAGAAUGUUAUCACGGGAGACACACGGCGGGUGCUAACGUCCGUCGUGAAGAGGGAAACAACCCAGACCGCCAGCUAAGGUCCCAAAGUCAUGGUUAAGUGGGAAACGAUGUGGGAAGGCCCAGACAGCCAGGAUGUUGGCUUAGAAGCAGCCAUCAUUUAAAGAAAGCGUAAUAGCUCACUGGUCGAGUCGGCCUGCGCGGAAGAUGUAACGGGGCUAAACCAUGCACCGAAGCUGCGGCAGCGACGCUUAUGCGUUGUUGGGUAGGGGAGCG
rnacentral:rRNA from 1 species